ensembl:antisense Gm13344 predicted gene 13344
ACGAAUGGGGUGUUCAGACGCUCGGGGAAAUCAGGCAGGGCGGGGCGAGACCCUCACCCUUGCUCGAUGGCCAACGCCUACUCCUCCUCAAAGGUACAUUGGGGACACCUGGCUGGACAGUGCCGCACCUUCGCUGUCCCCCUUGUUCCUGGAUGUGCUGGACCCAAACAUAGCCAAAGACCGGACGGCUGGGUGGGUCGCUAUUCCCUGCUCUGGGCAGCCAGGAUCCUGUGCACAAGUAUCCAAGUGAGUGACUUGAAAGCUACUGUCAUUCUAACCAGAUGGAAGGAACAUUCGCAUCAGAUGGACGCACGACUGGACGCACUUUGGGAGAGCGUUGGGGACCCUCCCCCCCUCGUCCUUCUCUCUGGUACUGUCAGUCCUCUGGACCUGGAGCCGGGCCCCAGAGUUCGUUGAUUCCCCACACUUCCUGGGUCUGGCAGUCGCAGCCGGCCACAGUGAAGUGUCCUCUUUCUGUGCAGUGCGCUCAGGGCGUCUCUGGCACAGGUGCCACCACGGGACCACCCCUGUUCUUCCAAGUUUGGCCAUGAACUCUGUGGCUGACGAUCCUUGAGAGGGGACAGCUGCUAGCGCCGAGGUUGCACGGACCCCUGCAGAAGGCCAGGAGCUGUGCCGCUGGCUAGGGUGUAUCACCCAGCAAUCUUGGAAUCCGUUUGGCUUCUAAACAUGGAAGCCAAGACGCCACAGCAACCAGCAUCCUCUCCUCCCCGACAUCCGUCUCAUUUUCAAUUUUCUAACUCUAUUUUCAGACAACUGCACUGGAACAAGGGGUGAAUAACUGUGACCCCCGGAGACAGUGGUAUAUCUAUGUAGUUUGCUGAAAAGGGACCAAUUUGGGCAUGGGUGGAUAUUCCCUGGAAAUCUGGGCGUUAAGCUUAUGGUGGUCAGUGAUUUGCUGUGUUAUAGGGGUGAUUAGUAAUCUUUUGUGACCAGUUUCUUAAUUCACAAAGAGAAAACUAAUGUUCGAGCUGUCCCCUCACGGGACUUCCGUUAUCUUCUCCGGGAAUAUUAAUCUUCGUGGCAGAGAGUAGUCCUUUGUUAGAAUCAGGAAUUAUACAUUAACCUGAAGAAUAAGCCCUUAGAAAAAGAAAUCCCAGAACAUCAGAGCCCAGAACACCUGGGUUCCUCCUCUUCUCACCCUUAUACCGAAACCACCAAGCAGGACUAGAAACAAGAGCUACUCCUAACCUCGUUGUGCAAAGAGGGGGCUGGCCCAGAGGAGUAACUCCAGAAGAACUCAGCCAACCCAGCCCGAUGGUGUCUCUGUGCACACAUGCAAGGGAGCUCUCCAACAAAUUGAUCAUUUUCAUUUUUCGUAGAAGAAAUAUCCUGAUGGUUCCCAUGGCCACUUUCGGAAAAUUAAUAAGCCUGAUUCAUAAGUUAGGAAAGCGCGUUUCGUAGAUUGUGCUGAGCCUGAGUGCUGGGUGAAGAAAAGGGAAGGCUCCUGGACCAGGUGCGCUGGCCUUGGUGCUGAAGGUAGAGUCGCCUGGAACGGAGUCCAUCCAAAUCAUUAAAGUCUAUCUAAAUAAAGCAAAA